UUGACCUCAAAUCAGGUAGGACUACCCGCUGAACUUAAGCAUAUCAAUAAGCGGAGGUUGAGAAACUAACA
rnacentral:rRNA from 1 species